rnacentral:rRNA from 1 species
UACGUAGGGGGCAAGCGUUGUCCGGAUUUAUUGGGCGUAAAGCGCGUGUAGGCGGUUCGGUAAGUCCGCUGUGAAAGUCGGGGGCUCAACCCUCGGAAGCCGGUGGAUACUGUCGAGCUAGAGUACGGAAGAGGCGAGUGGAAUUCCUGGUGUAGCGGUGAAAUGCGUAGAUAUCUGGAGGAACACCGGUGGCGAAGGCGGCAUUCUGGACCAAUAUUGACGCUGAGGAGCGAAAGCCAGGGGAGCAAACGGG